rnacentral:misc_RNA from 1 species
AUUCGUGCUACCGACUAUAAAAACAACAGAUGAUGAGAAUCGUGGGCUUGAAAAUUAGUCGAUCGAGCGCGAUCGUCAGUCGAGCGAACUGCGAUGCAGGUUAGGUUAGGAAAACCCAUUUCGAGAUUUGACAGUUCGUUAAUUAAAAAAGUAAAGCAAUAAAGAAGCACAUGUCGCACUUAAGAAACGCGUCAGAUCGGCGUUUAUUUCACUAUAAUAUUUAAUAAUCUGGCUGAAAUGAGUUUUACGAAAUUACGCAAGAUGAUCGUCGUUCCUUCUCCAGCUUCGAUAUGGGAUUAUCCUCACUUGGAUCAGCUAACGUGUUUAAUGGGUUUGACCUACGAAGCAGGUCCGGAUUCUAAGAGAGGAUUUUUCCCCACUGCGAAGAACCACAUUCCACCGUCUCACAUGGAAAAUCCGUCGAAAUUAGAGCCGGCGAAGCGAGGCGUGGCGGGCUUGCGUCCCGACGACACGGAACUCGGAGAGGUCAAGAUAAUCGUACCCUCCUCGGAUAUUGCGACGUCAACAACGCUCGAAGCAUCCUCCGCAGUGAUACCUUGCGGUAGCGGCGGUUGCAAGACUUCCCGACGCCAUAACGGGGAAUCCCGACCCGAGAGUCCUUGGCACGUCCUAAAAACAAUAUUCCUCGUCUCCGUUAUCAUCGCCUUCGUCGUGUGGGUCGUUGUUUACACUUUAUUGGCGCAGUAUGAGAUUCUGUGAGAUUUAACAGCCUCGAGAGGUAACAGCGUCGAAAAAAUUGGUGCGCAAAGCGAGAGGGGCGCGGAAGGAAGAUGAAGAAAAACGAUUGUGACGAAGCAACGCUUGCGGAUCUAGUCGAUAUCUCCGUGCCGAGAAACGUCGGUUUGUCCCCGUACAUAUCGCUCGCCUGAUCUUUCAGCGAGAGGGCAAAGAACGAGAAACGAAAAAAAUUGUAAAUAAGAUUGUAAAAUGUGACUUGUACAUGGGAAUAUAUCGUACUUUUAUUUUCACUA